UUUACCAGUUCCUACAAGAUAUUAAAACUGUAUAUCCUGGCUAUGGAAAAAAUGGUUUAGAGUUGAAAUUUAUAAAUGAGCCAACAGUACAAAGUGAGGAUAUUGAAGAUUUAAUGCCACCGAAAAAAGCUGCCCGUCAAGAUGAUGAAAUGCAGUUUAUUGAAGAUGGUGAUGAUAUGUGGGAGUAUGGAAAUUAAAAAUCCUGCAGCCCUUUCAUAAACAAAUACAGCAGAAUUACAGGUUCGAAAAUGUAAUUUAUUUCCUAAGUAUUUUUGAUGCUGAAGCCAGUCAGUUUUUAAGAAUGUUAAGUAUGACUCUGAGUGUGUGACCUGAUAUGAGGAGGAUAGUGCAAGACAGGGAUUAUAACUACUAGAUUUGUGUUGCAUGCAGUGUGAACAUUUCAUAAGUGUACAACAAAGUGAUUUGGAUUAAUUAUUUCAAAACACGAACCUCAGAUGUUAA